GAUGAACGCCGGCGGUGUGCCUAAUACAUGCAAGUCGAACGCGUUGGCCCAAUUGAUUGACGGUGCUUGCACCUGAUUGAUUUUGGUUGCCAACGAGUGGCGGACGGGUGAGUAACACGUAGGUAACCUGCCCAGAAGAGGGGGACAACAUUUGGAAACAGAUGCUAAUACCGCAUAACAGCGUUGUUCGCAUGAACAACGCUUAAAAGAUGGCCUCUCGCUAUCACUUCUGGAUGGACCUGCGGUGCAUUAGCUUGUUGGUGGGGUAACGGCCUACCAAGGCGAUGAUGCAUAGCCGAGUUGAGAGACUGAUCGGCCACAAUGGGACUGAGACACGGCCCAUACUCCUACGGGAGGCAGCAGUAGGGAAUCUUCCACAAUGGGCGCAAGCCUGAUGGAGCAACACCGCGUGAGUGAAGAAGGGUUUCGGCUCGUAAAGCUCUGUUGUUAAAGAAGAACACGUAUGAGAGUAACUGUUCAUACGUUGACGGUAUUUAACCAGAAAGUCACGGCUAACUACGUGCCAGCAGCCGCGGUAAUACGUAGGUGGCAAGCGUUAUCCGGAUUUAUUGGGCGUAAAGAGAGUGCAGGCGGUUUUCUAAGUCUGAUGUGAAAGCCUUCGGCUUAACCGGAGAAGUGCAUCGGAAACUGGAUAACUUGAGUGCAGAAGAGGGUAGUGGAACUCCAUGUGUAGCGGUGGAAUGCGUAGAUAUAUGGAAGAACACCAGUGGCGAAGGCGGCUACCUGGUCUGCAACUGACGCUGAGACUCGAAAGCAUGGGUAGCGAACAGG
rnacentral:rRNA from 1 species